UUGUUGGACAGUGAUCAGUGAUGCUCAGCUACUGAAGUUGUGUAUAGAGCAACUUCUGUAUUUGAAUGCUUUUAUUACCAUAAAUCCCGAGAAACUACCCAUUUCUAACUCACAUGGUCAUGCCUGAGGUUUCUUGUUCAGUCCCAAUGGUGUUCUAGAGAAAAUGUGACCUGAAGCAUCCUCCAGGAGAUGAGAUCUACCGUUGUGGCACAUUAUCAAUGUUUGAGGUUGAUGGCAAGAAGAACAAGGUUUACGCACAAAAUCUGUGCUACAUGGCUAAACUAUUUCUAGAUCACAAGACACUUUAUUAUGACGUCGACUUGUUUCUAUUCUAUAUUCUUUGUGAAUGUGAUGAUCGGGGAUGCCACAUGGUUGGAUAUUUCUCUAAGGCUAAGCCAAUAUGUAUAUGUCACUGG